AUACGGAGGAUGCGAGCGUUAUCCGGAUUUAUUGGGUUUAAAGGGAGCGUAGGCGGGAGCUUAAGUCAGCGGUUAAAUGGUGCGGCUCAACCGUGCCCUGCCGUUGAAACUGGGUUUCUUGAGAGUGCAAGAGGCGGAUGGAAUUCAUGGUGUAGCGGUGAAAUGCUUAGAUAUCAUGAAGAACUCCGAUUGCGAAGGCAGUCCGCUGGGGCACGUCUGACGCUGAUGCUCGAAGGUGCGGGAAUCAAACAGGAUUAGAUACCCUGGUAGUCCGCACGGUAAACGAUGAUUACCCGCUGUCGGCGGCAGACAGUCGGCGGCCAAGCGAAAGCGUUAAGUAAUCCACCUGGGGAGUACGCCGGCAACGGUGAAACUCAAAGGAAUUGACGGGG
rnacentral:rRNA from 1 species